AAAGAAUUAGUUAAUAAAUAACAUAAAUAUGUCAAAUUUAAAUUAUUAUAAAUAUAAUAUUCUUUU
rnacentral:tRNA from 2 species